rnacentral:lncRNA from 1 species
UGAACACAGGAGGCGGAGGAAGUGUCCCCCUCACUAUGGGAAGACCACGAACUUUUCUCUCCACAUUUUUCAGGGUCUUUGUUUAUCUCGCUGGUUUCCUUCUUACAAGAUUCUUUCUUAGAUGACUCUUUUUUAGAUAAUUCUUUCUUAGAAGACUCCUUCUUCGAAGAUGGAAGUCCUUGUUCAUACAUCUUUACAAAAGAACUCUGUGAAUCCUUUUGGUCUUUCUGUUGCUUUUUUUCCUCCUUCCCA